GAUGAACGCUGGCGGCGUGCCUAAUACAUGCAAGUCGAGCGAACAGACGAGGAGCUUGCUCCUCUGACGUUAGCGGCGGACGGGUGAGUAACACGUGGAUCACCUACCUAUAAGACUGGGAUAACUUCGGGAAACCGGAGCUACUACCGGAUAAUAUAUUGAACCGCAUGGUUCAAUAGUGAAAGACGGUUUUGCUGUCACUUAUAGCUGAAUCCGCGCCGCAUUAGCUAGUUGGUAAGGUAACGGCUUACCAAGGCAACGAUGCGUAGCCGACCUGAGAGGGUGAUCGGCCACACUGGAACUGAGACACGGUCCAGACUCCUACGGGAGGCAGCAGUAGGGAAUCUUCCGCAAUGGGCGAAAGCUUGACGGAGCAACGCCGCGUGAGUGAUGAAGGUCUUCGGAUCGUAAAACUCUGUUAUUAGGGAAGAACAAAUGUGUAAGUAACUAUGCACGUCUUGACGGUACCUAAUCAGAAAGCCACGGCUAACUACGUG
rnacentral:rRNA from 1 species